rnacentral:rRNA from 1 species
GGGGGGGGGGGGGGGGGGGGCGGGGAGGGGGGAGGCGGGGGGGGGGAGGAGGAGGUUGCUCCGCGGACGUUAGCGGCGGACGGGUGAGUAACACGUGGAUAACCUACCUAUAGGACUGGGGUAACUUCGGGAAACCGGAGCUAAUACCGGGUAAUAUAUUGAACCGCCUGGUUCAAUAGUGACAGACGGUUUUGCUGUCACUUAUAGCUGGAUCCGCGCCGCAUUAGCUAGUUGGUAAGGUAACGGCUUACCAAGGCGACGAUGCGUAGCCGACCUGAGAGGGUGAUCGGCCACACUGGAACUGAGACACGGUCCAGACUCCUACGGGAGGCAGCAGUAGGGAAUCUUCCGCAAUGGGCGAAAGCCUGACGGAGCAACGCCGCGUGAGUGAUGAAGGUCUUCGGAUCGUAAAACUCUGUUAUUAGGGAAGAACAAAUGUGUAAGUAACUAUGCACGUCUUGACGGUACCUAAUCAGAAAGCCACGGCUAACUACGUG